UACGAAGGGGGCUAGCGUUGCUCGGAAUCACUGGGCGUAAAGCGCACGUAGGCGGCUUGUUAAGUCAGGGGUGAAAUCCUGGAGCUCAACUCCAGAACUGCCUUUGAUACUGGCGAGCUUGAGUUCGGGAGGGGUGAGUGGAACUGCGAGUGUAGAGGUGAAAUUCGUAGAUAUUCGCAAGAACACCAGUGGCGAAGGCGGCUCACUGGCCCGAUACUGACGCUGAGGUGCGAAAGCGUGGGGAGCAAACAGG
rnacentral:rRNA from 1 species